rnacentral:rRNA from 1 species
UACAGAGGGGGCAAGCGUUGUUCGGAAUUACUGGGCGUAAAGGGCGCGUAGGCGGCCUGCUAAGUCGAACGUGAAAUCCCCGGGCUCAACCCGGGAACUGCGUCCGAUACUGGUUGGCUUGAAUUCGGGAGAGGGAUGUGGAAUUCCCGGUGUAGUGGUGAAAUGCGUAGAUAUCGGGAGGAACACCAGUGGCGAAGGCGACUACCUGGCCUGUUCUUGACGCUGAGGCGCGAAAGCUAGGGGAGCAAACGGG